GAUGAACGCUGGCGGCGUGCCUAAUACAUGCAAGUCGAGCGAACGGACGAGAAGCUUGCUUCUCUGAUGUUAGCGGCGGACGGGUGAGUAACACGUGGAUAACCUACCUAUAAGACUGGGAUAACUUCGGGAAACCGGAGCUAAUACCGGAUAAUAUUUUGAACCGCAUGGUUCAAAAGUGAAAGACGGUCUUGCUGUCACUUAUAGAUGGAUCCGCGCUGCAUUAGCUAGUUGGUAAGGUAACGGCUUACCAAGGCAACGAUGCAUAGCCGACCUGAGAGGGGGAUCGGCCACACGGGAACUGAGACACGGUCCAGACUCCUACGGGAGGCAGCAGUAGGGAAUCUUCCGCAAUGGGCGAAAGCCUGACGGAGCAACGCCGCGUGAGUGAUGAAGGUCUUCGGAGCGUAAAACUCUGUUAUUAGGGAAGAACAUAUGUGGAAGUAACUGUGCACAUCGUGACGGUACCUAAUCAGAAAGCCACGGCUAACUACGUG
rnacentral:rRNA from 1 species